rnacentral:tRNA from 1 species
CGGGCCGUAGUCUAGCCUGGUAGGACGCACGGCUCGGGCCCGUGUGAUCCCGGGUUCAAAUCCCGGCGGCCCCA